rnacentral:rRNA from 1 species
UACGUAGGUCCCGAGCGUUGUCCGGAUUUAUUGGGCGUAAAGCGAGCGCAGGUGGUUUAUUAAGUCUGGUGUAAAAGGCAGUGGCUCAACCAUUGUAUGCAUUGGAAACUGGUAGACUUGAGUGCAGGAGAGGGGAGUGGAAUUCCAUGUGUAGCGGUGAAAUGCGUAGAUAUAUGGAGGAACACCGGUGGCGAAAGCGGCUCUCUGGCCUGUAACUGACACUGAGGCUCGAAAGCGUGGGGAGCGAACAGG